rnacentral:rRNA from 1 species
AAUCAACGCUGGCGGCGUGCCUCAGACAUGCAAGUCGAACGAUUAAGACUACCUUCGGGGAGUGCAUAAAGUGGCGCACGGGUGAGUAACACGUAAGUAAUCUACCCUCGAGUGGGGAAUAACAUCGGGAAACCGAUGCUAAUACCGCAUAAUGCAGCGGCACCGCAAGGUGACAGUUGUUAAAGGAGUAAUUCGCUUGAGGAGGAGCUUGCGGCAGAUUAGCUAGUUGGUAAGGUAACGGCUUACCAAGGCUACGAUCUGUAUCCGGCCUGAGAGGGCGGUCGGACACACUGACACUGAAUAACGGGUCAGACUCCUACGGGAGGCAGCAGUCGGGAAUUUUGGGCAAUGGGCGAAAGCCUGACCCAGCAACGCCGCGUGAGGGAUGAAGUAUUUCGGUAUGUAAACCUCGAAAGAAUAGGAAGAAUAAAUGACGGUACUAUUUAUAAGCUCCGGCUAACUACGUGCCAGCAGCCGCGGUAAUACGUAGGGAGCAAGCGUUGUUCGGUA